GGGCCCCGCCAGAGGCCCCUUUGUUGCCAAGGGUCUCCCCAUCUCCAAGGCCAGAGGGUGAGCCCUUUCAGAUGCUCUAACUGGGCCUGAUUGCUGCCAUGGAGAAUCCAGGAGAAACAAACAAACAAACAAAAAAACAAUAGAAGAUUUCUUCACACCCGGUGCUGGGCACCAGGACCCCCUGGGAGGCCCGUGAACAAGCAGUCCCAACCACACCCCUGACAGAUCCUGACUCGGCACGUCUGUGGUGAGGCCUAGCAAUCUGCAUCUUGAUACCAGUGAAGGAGGGGCAGGGCGAUAGGGGGUGAGAGAAUAAAAAAGAAAACAGAACUGUAAGAAAUUAAGUUUAACUGCCCUCAGUUAUCAACUAUUAAAAAAUCUGAC